UACGUAGGGGGCAAGCGUUGUCCGGAAUCAUUGGGCGUAAAGAGCGUGUAGGCGGCCAGAUAAGUCCGCUGUGAAAUCUCGAGGCUCAACUUCGAGCUGUCGGUGGAAACUGUCUGGCUAGAGUCCGGAAGAGGAGAAUGGAAUUCCUGGUGUAGCGGUGAAAUGCGCAGAUAUCAGGAAGAACACCAGUGGCGAAGGCGGCUCACUGGCCCGGUACUGACGCUGAUGUGCGAAAGCGUGGGGAGCAAACAGG
rnacentral:rRNA from 1 species